AACGAACGCUGGCGGAAUGCUUUACACAUGCAAGUCGAACGGCAGCACGGACUUCGGUCUGGUGGCAAGUGGCGAACGGGUGAGUAAUGUAUCGGAACGUGCCCAGCCGUGGGGGAUAACGUAGUGAAAAUUACGCUAAUACCGCAUACGAUCUAUGGAUGAAAGCGGGGGAUCGCAAGACCUCGCGCGAUUGGAGCGGCCGAUAUCAGAUUAGGUGGUUGGUGGGGUAAAGGCCCACCAAGCCAACGAUCUGUAGCUGGUCUGAGAGGACGACCAGCCUGACUAGAACUGAGACACGGUCCAGACUCCUGCGGGAGGCAGCAGUGGGGAAUUUUGGACAAUGGGCGAAAGCAUGAUCCAGCCAUUCCGCGUGCAGGAUGAAGGCCCUCGGGUUGUAAACUGCUUUUGUACAGAACGAAAAGGUUUCUACUAAUACUAGGAGCUCAUGACGGUACUGUAAGAAUAAGCACCGGCUAACUACGUGCCAGCCGCCGCGGUAA
rnacentral:rRNA from 1 species